CCCCAAAUAAUUUUGCUUUAUCCGUGAUCUCUCAUCAAGGAAAAAACUGCUCUGUAUAUGUGUUUCACAUCACAACGCUUAUGAGAUUAAGAAAUAUAGGAAGCGAUGAAGAAUGGGCCAGUUACAAUAUUCAGAUAUCAUAUAUAGCUGCCACUUACAGAAAAUAUGAUUACAAGUAGGAUUUACAAUCUUUUCCUCAAAUCAUUAAAUGGGUUUAGCUACUGUGAGUUCCAGUAUGGUCGUUUAUUGAUCACAAAGGAAUUGCUUCUGCCAUUGGAAGUAUGACAUGAGUCCUGACUUCUGCAGAAUGUGCAUCUUAUCUUCACUGAUAUAAACAAUCUCGGGACAUUAUGGAGGCAUCAGAUGGUCGGGG